ACCAGAAUGCCUAUAAAUAAAAACCUAAUGGCUAGAAGUCUCCUACCAACCCUCAGAUAACGUUCAUCAUUUGGUCUUGAAUUUCCCAUAAGAUUUUUGCCUUAACUUGCUCGAAUAUGGGUAAUCUCAAGAAGCUGAUAUUCAUGCUCAACUUUGCUUUGCUUUUUGCGCUCCUCAUCUCCACCAAAGUGGCUUCAAGAGAACCUUUUGGGGCGUCAAGGAUUCACAUAACGGCACGGGAUAUAGCAAAGGGCCACAAUUAUACUCCUGGUAGUUGUAAUUGAUCAGCAUCCGGAAGUCCCAUUCGAAAUCAACUCCUCGAGCAAGAGAAAGCUGAACGAUACUUUCACAAAUGUGUAAUGCUGAUUUAUUGUGCUUGUUACUAGUAGUAACAACAUCGGUUGUUUUCUGGUGUAAUUUUAAUUGUCCCAUUGGAUUUACAAAUUUUUAUUUAACAUUAUCUAUGUGAAAAUUUUGUUAGUCGACGAUUUAUAAGUACUCUUACAAGUGUUUCAUCAAA